ACUUGCAUAUAUAUCUUCCUUUAUUUUUCAUCCCUCUUGUCUUUUACAUUUGGUUGCAGUUUCAACAACAACAACAAGAAGCUUCUUUUCUUUUUCGUUGUUAUGGCAUAAAAUGAAGAAGUGCAGUUGUAGUUGUUUUCUUAUAUUAUUAUAUAGAACAUAUAGAACAU
rnacentral:ribozyme from 14 species